rnacentral:lncRNA from 1 species
GGGGAGAACACCUGUCUCUUUCUAUCCCCUUAUUAUUUUAUCCCCCCAAAAAACCAACAGAGUGGCUAAUCUGACUGAACAGAACCAAAACAUUCAGUGGGCCAUGGUUUACAGUAUACAGGAUUAUUAAAACCCAAAGGAAGAAACAGGCUGACUGCUUACUCUUCACUUCUGGACUCAGGCAUACUGGACUCAGCUGUCUUCUUGCCCACUUUUCUACUUCUGCUUCUUUUUUUCAGGAGCCUAUUACAUUUCUAUUUCUGCUUUCUUCCACGAGGCAAACACAUUUGCUUAAGACUGAAGACCUGACUUCUGUAAUCCUCACCCAUACAGAAUUCAAUGGAGAAGGGAACUACAAAAUUUUCCUAAUAUAUGAACUACAACAUGAUAUAAUUGAAAGAGUAUGGGUGUCAGAAGGUAAGAUUAAGUGUAAAUCCCUAGUAUUAUGAUUUAAUUAAUCUCCAUGGGCCUGAAUUUCUUUUUAUCCAUAAAAAAAGAAAUACUUUUCAAGGAUCAGAUCAAAUGCCAUUUCCACCAAAAGGAUGUCUAACAUGAACAACAGCAAUUAUUUCCACAUUCUGUCUGUAGCCAUUUAUAUGUAUCUCUUAUAAAAUAUGCUUAUUUGCCUUACAUUAUAGAAAUUUAUAAUCUUUGUCAUCUCCUUUAUUUGCC